UACGAAGGGUGCAAGCGUUACUCGGAAUUACUGGGCGUAAAGCGUGCGUAGGUGGUGAGUUAAGUCUGUCGUGAAAGCCCCGGGCUCAACCUGGGAAUGGCGAUGGAUACUGGCUCGCUAGAGUGCGGUAGAGGAGAGUGGAAUUCCCGGUGUAGCAGUGAAAUGCGUAGAUAUGCGGAGGAACACCGAUGGCGAAGGCAAUCCCCUGGGCCUGCACUGACGCUCAUGCACGAAGCGUGG
rnacentral:rRNA from 1 species